GAAAGCGGGCGGAAAAGGAAAGCAGUGGCAAAGCUGAAGCCAAUGGCCUACGUAAACCCAAGGAUAUUCUGGGCAACAAAGUCUCUGUUAAAGAGACAAACAGUUCAGAGGAGUCAGAAUGUGAUGACCUUGAUCCCAACACUAGCAUGGAGAAUAUCCAUUGUUGACCUUGCUGCUUUGUUUACAUGAAUGCGAAAUCUAUGGAGAAAGGAAAAGGAAGCCUAGAAGAAGAUGAGAUGCAGGGGGGGAAAUUACCAGAGGGUCAGGGCAAGGUCUACAAGCACUAUUCUCUAAAGUGCCAGCAACACUGGCUCUUGUACAAAUGUGCAUUUUGUGCUUCCCCAUAUAUUUUGUCGUGAAAAAUGAGCAUGUCCUAUUCUGGUG